UAUAUUAAUACAGGACUGCCAAUGAACAACCCCCAAUUACUUUUGCUAUUGCAGCAGAAGAGACAGAUGUUGUUCAUGUCUCAGAGUGCCCUUGCUUUGUGCUAUCUGGAUACUCCACCGGUUUCACCGCAAAAGACAUUUGGCAUGAAAUAAAAGAGACUCUUACCGAUUCUUCUGGAAAAAAAAAACGGUGAAAACUUCCUUCACUGGUCCCAGUCCAUGUGGACGUACAUCCGAGGCAAAGUCAAAAUCGGCUACCUGACGGGAGAAAAGAAGGAACCGAAACCUGAAGAUCCAUCCUACUCGACUUGGGAUGCAGAGAAUUUGAUGAUGAUGACCUGGUUGGUGAAUUCUAUGGAGGAGGACAUCAGUUCUAAUUAUAUGUGUUACCACACAGCAAAAGAACUCUGGGACAAUGUCAACCAGAUGUGUUCAGACCUGGGAAAUUAGUCUCAAGUUUAUGAACUAACGCUGAAACUCGGAGAGAUCCGUCAAGGAGAUAACAGUGUUACAAAAUAUUUCAACUCUCUAAACGUUUGUGGCAAGACCUUGAUUUGUUCAGUGAUUAUGAGUGGAAAUCGCCUGAAGAUUGCAACCAUUACAAAAAGAAGGUGGAAGACAACCGCAUCUUCAAGUUUCUCAUUGGACUCAAUGUCGAGUUUGAUGAAGUGAGAGGCAGAAUAAUUGGACGACAGCCCCUGCCUUUAAUCGGUGAAGUCUUCUCCGAGGUUCGAAGAGAGGAAAGUCACAGGCUGGUCAUGCUUGGAAAAAAGUCAUCAAAUGGUGCUGUUGAGACCUCUGCCCUGGUCGCAUCUGAAGCGAAUAUUGGCAGGAAGCAUGAUGAAAAGCCCCGCCUUUGGUGUGACCACUGCAAUAAGCUUCGCCAAACCCGUGAAACCUGCUAGAAAAUUCAUAGUAAACCAGCGAAUUGGAAGAGUAAGUAGGAAGGCGAUUCAACCAGGAAGGCAGAUUCAACCGAGCCCCAUCAGCUUAUGAAGCCGAGGCACUUCCCUUCAGCAAAGAACAGAUGGAUUAUCUUCUAAAAUUGCUGAAAUUCAAUUCCUCAUCUGGUACUCCUAAUGCUUCUCUUGCUCAAACAGGACCAGAGCUUGGGGAAGACGAUUGGUAGUGCUAAGAUGAUAGAUGGUCUUUACUAUUUUGAAGAUGAUAUUUCAAGUAAUAAAAAGGCUCAAGGUCUGAGUAGUUUUCAUUCUAUCCCUGUUAGAGAACAAAUAAUGCUAUGGCAUUUUAGACUAGGGCAUCCUAGUUUCCUUUAUCUUAAAAAAUUAUUUCCUACUUUGUUUAAAGGAUUGGAUUGUUCAUCUUUUUAUUGUGAGAAUUGUUUUUUUUUUUUUAUCAAAAAGUCAUCGAACUACGUAUUCUCCCAAACCUUACCAAACAUCAAAACCAUUUUAUUUAAUCCAUAAUGAUGUUUGUGGCCCUUCUAGGAUCACAACUCUUUUUGAAAAAAAAAUGGU